rnacentral:rRNA from 1 species
GAUUAACGCUGGCGGCGUGCCUAACACAUGCAAGUCGAGCGGCAGCGAGUUUUACACUGAAUUCUGGAAGCUUCUAGUUGAAAGAGAAGAUUUAUUCAAGAAUUUUGUGUAAAAUGUCGGCGAGCGGCGGACGGCUGAGUAACGCGUGGGAACGUACCCCAAAGUGAGGGAUAACGCAUCGAAAGGUGUGCUAAUACCGCAUAUGGUCUUCGGAUUAAAGCCUUCGGGCGCUUUGGGAACGGCCUGCGUAAGAUUAGAUAGUUGGUGGGGGAAUGGCCUACCAAGGCGACGAUCUUUAACUGGUUAGAGAGGAUGAUCAGUCAGACUGGAGCUGAGACACGGUCCAGAAUCCUACGGGAGGCAGCAGUGAGGAAUCUUCCACAAUGGGCGAAAGCCUGAUGGAGCAACGACGCGUGCAGGAUGAAGGCCUUCGGGUUGUAAACUGCUUUUAUAAGUGAGGAUUAUGACAGUAACUUAUGAAUAAGGAUCGGCUAACUACGUG